ACGAACGCUGGCGGCGUGCCUCAUCCCUGCCAGUCGAGCGAAGUUUUUCUGGUGCUUGCACCGGAAAAACUUAGCGGCGAACGGGUGAGUAACACGUAAAGAACCUGCCUCAUAGACUGGGACAACUAUUGGAAACGAUAGCUAAUACCGGAUAAUAGCAUUAACUGCAUGGUUGAUGUUUAAAAGUUGGUUUUGCUAACACUAUGAGAUGGCUUUGCGGUGCAUUAGCUAGUUGGUGGGGUAAAGGCCUACCAAGGCGACGAUGCAUAGCCGACCUGAGAGGGUGAUCGGCCACACUGGGACUGAGACACGGCCCAGACUCCUACGGGAGGCAGCAGUAGGGAAUCUUCCGCAAUGGGCGAAAGCCUGACGGAGCAACGCCGCGUGAGUGAAGAAGGAUUUCGGUUCGUAAAGCUCUGUUGUUAGGGAAGAAUGAUUGUGUAGUAACUAUACACAGUAGAGACGGUACCUAACCAGAAAGCCACGGCUAACUACGUG
rnacentral:rRNA from 1 species